rnacentral:lncRNA from 1 species
UGAACAUCACCAGCCAACAUGUUAGGGUUCAUUAUUUGUGUCCAAAGAAGACAAGGAAAGAUCAGGACGUGGACUGAAAAACCAGAGUAGGCUCAGAAGAUUCAAAAGCUCGAAUCAGGAGGUGGUGUUUUUCCUGGUAUUUUGGCAGAUGUAACAGCACCAGAACCAGAAUGCGGGCAAUGUGAAGGAGAUUGUAGCAGGAGCAAAGAAAGGAAGGGAGAAAAGAAGAUGGAAUCCUCUUCUUUUUCCCAGGCCUCAGACUAUGCUUCACUUCAGAGCUUGAGUAGUGGGAGGAUGGUUGCUCAAAAGGAAACUCAGGUCCAGUUCCCAGAUCAUGAGUGAAUGAAUACUUAGGCAAGAAAAGAAGUCCACUGCUCAAGAGUUCCACUGGACAGACUCUCCAGCCAAGCUGCACUUCUGCCAGGGCCCAAAAUAUGCCUUGGGCUUUUCUAACAUAUCAACCUUUUAAUAAACCACUUCCCUUUUUGAAUCCUUCCCAAUUAUCUCAGCUGGCCCAAAUCCUAUCUAUCUUUUAAAAUUAAGGAAAAAAUCUCAAAUCCAGUUUAUUCUUGAAGCCUAACGGGUUCACUGCUUCCUGCAAACAAUUAUAACACUUCUUGUCUACACAACUCUUUAGGAAACAAAUGUUCUCCACCUCCUGCAGCUAGCUAACUUUUAAUGACUACAAUUUUUCUAUCCAGCUUGACUCUAAAUUCCUUUAAGAAAACUAC